GGACUACACGGGUAUCUAAUCCUGUUUGCUCCCCUAGCUUUCGCAACUCAGCGUCAGAGAUGGCCCAGAAGCCUGCUUUCGCCAUAGGUAUUCCUCCCGAUAUCUACGCAUUUCACCGCUACACCGGGAAUUCCAGCUUCCUCUGCCACACUCGAGCCCGGCAGUUUCCCUUGACCUCUCCCAGUUAAGCCGGGAGCUUUCACAAGAGACUUACCGAACCGCCUGCUUGCGCUUUACGCCUAGUGAUUCCGAGUAACGCUUGCCACCUACGUAUUACCGCGGCUGCUGGCAC
rnacentral:rRNA from 1 species